CCCCUAUUCUUCGCCACUUGGCAGCUCCGUUUCAGCUCUGCCGGAAGUUUCCGGAAACGAGAUAACGUAUCGAUUGUGUCUGGCGGAGGGAGGAAAUCACCUCAAUCCAAACAAGAGGAUUCGUGCCACUUUCAGCCAAUCGGGAUCCAGUUUUAAAAAUAUUUACGCGGACAUGUCAACAGCGGUGUGUCAGCAAAGCAUUUCGCAAAGACAAACACGCACCUCAGCCCCCCCCCUCCUGGGGUCACCCAUCGCAUGUCACGCUAGAAGCAGUGAGCCGACGGAGACAUAACAGCAAAUAUUUAUUUAAUCUCGUUCCGUCGCGCUGUUUCUUCGUUCUCGGUGUUGGGGCGAAAGGCCUCACAGAAGCAAACGUUGAUAAAAGACAAGUUCAAACAGUUUAACCCCUAUCGCUCCAUGCUCGGAGGAGCUGUGAUUAAAUGCUUCCCCUGGGUGGCUGGAGUGCAGGUAGGCCGGCUCAGCCAAGCGUACAGAACACAAGCCUCUUUGUGGAAAGUGUGAACCAGGGAUGAUGGGGGCUGGGGCUAGUUUUUUUUAAAUCACUCCAGCCCUCCCACAAAACAGUAAUGCCCAUUUGGGCGACUUUGGAUGGCACUGAACUGGCCCACAGAAAUUUCAACUUGGGCAAUCGUGGAAACGACGAUCUUUGCUUCUAAAAAUAAUCCGAGGCGGUAUCGGUGCGUUUCACGGGACCCUCGCUCGAGCUGCAGGUCGGCCCGCUCGUGUGAUUCUCCGCGGCUCCGUCUCGCAGCCUCGGCGCCGGUGGACGCCCUCCCAGCUGGGCGGGGGACAGCUGCAGAGCUUGGCGGGGGCUGCUCCGUGUGGACCGCCGGCACGCUCGCUGAGAAAUCACCACGACUACAGGGCACCGCCGUGCUUUUCCCCGCCUGACAUUCAGCCUGGAUUUGCUCAGGCGGUUCCGGCCCGCUUUCCGCACCACUCCUCUCCCUUUUAGGACGACAUCCUCCUCCCAUCUUCUCAGCAGCUGAGCGCUGAGUAGGUGCCGCUCUCCCGGGCCUGAGUGCGUCUCUCUGAUCUGCGGACCCCUCGACGCGUCCCGCUAAUGGAAGGCAGACAAAAACACUCGCUCCGCACGAUUGCGUCUGUUUGCUGAGCUAAGUGGCUGGGAGCGCAGGGAGGACGGGACACGUUUCAGGGCUCGGCCGAUGAAGGAGGACACAGGCGGUCCUACAGCAGCGCUGCAAUUCGGCCGUAAAAGCUGGUGGAUAGCCCUAAAAACAUGGAUGGGCCAAAAUUCCUAACAAAUUAAGGAAUGAUUCAUAUACCUUUCAUCCAUAUUUUAUACACCUGUAAAUGCAAUGAAUUUCAUAUUAAUGUAUGUAAGUUACAUAACGGUUUCUAGGCAAUAUAAAGACACCAACCCCUCUAACUGCAUUGUUAUUAGAAGGUAUGAGAUGUUUUUGAGAGAUGUGCCACAUCGUUCCUGGGAUUCAGAAGACAGCAUUUGACAUCAUAACGUGACUGAGAUCAAUAUUGCGUUAGCAGCCUGAAGACCACUGAUUGGUGAACAUGCAGACAGCUCAUACAGGUCACCCCAUUGGACACUGGAAAAGACUGCCGACCAAUGGAAGUCAAAGAUGCAGUACAUCGACAAUGCUGCCACUGUGAGUAACGUGAACAAAAUUCUAAGCUUCUGGAGAAAGACUAAUAAGACCUUGGAAAUUAAGUCGGUAAAGAUGUUCAAGAAAUCCAAACCAUAUCCACAGCACCUGGCGUGAGUAGCUUAGACUGAUAUUAAAGUAAUCUGCUUGUAGAGCUGGA